UACGUAGGGUGCGAGCGUUGUCCGGAAUUAUUGGGCGUAAAGAGCUCGUAGGCGGUGUGUCGCGUCGGCCGUGAAAACCUGGGGCUCAACUCUGGGCGUGCGGUCGAUACGGGCAUCACUUGAGUUCGGCAGGGGAGACUGGAAUUCCUGGUGUAGCGGUGAAAUGCGCAGAUAUCAGGAGGAACACCGGUGGCGAAGGCGGGUCUCUGGGCAUUACCUGACGGCUGAGGAGCGAAAGUGUGGGGACGCGAACAGGAUUAG
rnacentral:rRNA from 1 species